rnacentral:rRNA from 1 species
GAUGAACGCUGGCGGCGUGCCUAAUACAUGCAAGUCGAGCGAACAGACGAGGAGCUUGCUCCUCUGACGUUAGCGGCGGACGGGUGAGUAACACGUGGAUAACCUACCUAUAAGACUGGGAUAACUUCGGGAAACCGGAGCUAAUACCGGAUAAUAUAUUGAACCGCAUGGUUCAAUAGUGAAAGACGAUUUUGCUGUCACUUAUAGAUGGAUCCGCGCCGCAUUAGCUAGUUGGUAAGGUAACGGCUUACCAAGGCGACGAUGCGUAGCCGACCUGAGAGGGUGAUCGGCCACACUGGAACUGAGGCACGGUCCAGACUCCUACGGGAGGCAGCAGUAGGGAAUCUUCCGCAAUGGGCGAAAGCCUGACGGAGCAACGCCGCGUGAGUGAUGAAGGUCUUCGGAUCGUAAAACUCUGUUAUUAGGGAAGAACAAAUGUGUAAGUAACUAUGCACGUCUUGACGGUACCUAAUCAGAAAGCCACGGCUAACUACGUG